UACGGAAGGCAGCAGUGGGGAAUAUUGGACAAUGGGCGCAAGCCUGAUCCAGCCAUGCCGCGUGUGUGAAGAAGGCCUUUUGGUUGUAAAGCACUUUAAGCGAGGAGGAGGCUCUCUUAGUUAAUACCUAAGAUGAGUGGAUGUUACUCGCAGAAUAAGCACCGGCUAACUCUGUGCCAGCAGCCGCGGUAAUACAGAGGGUGCGAGCGUUAAUCGGAUUUUACUGGGCGUAAAGCGUGCGUAGGCGGCUUUUUUAAGUCGGAUGUGAAAUCCCCGAGCUUAACUUGGGAAUUGCAUUCGAUACUGGGAAGCUAGAGUAUGGGAGAGGAUGGUAGAAUUCCAGGUGUAGCGGUGAAAUGCGUAGAGAUCUGGAGGAAUACCGAUGGGCGAAGGGCAGCCAUCUGGGCCUAAUACUGACGCUGAGGUACGAAAGCAUGGGGAAGCAAACAGGAUUAGAAUAACC
rnacentral:rRNA from 1 species